AAGCAGUGGGAGCACAGGUUUACCUGUGUGACUGCGUACCUUUUGUAUAAUGGGUCAGCGACUUAUAUUCUGUAGCAAGGUUAACCGAAUAGGGGAGCCGGAGGGAAACCGAGUCUUAAUUGGGCGUUAAGUUGCAGGGUAUAGACCCGAAACCCGGUGAUCUAGCCAUGGGCAGGUUGAAGGUUGGGUAACACUAACUGGAGGACCGAACCGACUAAUGUUGAAAAAUUAGCGGAUGACCUGUGGCUGGGGGUGAAAGGCCAAUCAAACCGGGAGAUAGCUGGUUCUCCCCGAAAGCUAUUUAGGUAGCGCCUCGUGAAUUCAUCUCCGGGGGUAGAGCACUGUUUCGGCUAGGGGGCCAUCCCGGCUUACCAACCCGAUGCAAACUGCGAAUACCGGAGAAUGUUAUCACGGGAGACACACGGCGGGUGCUAACGUCCGUCGUGAAGAGGGAAACAACCCAGACCGCCAGCUAAGGUCCCAAAGUCAUGGUUAAGUGGGAAACGAUGUGGGAAGGCCCAGACAGCCAGGAUGUUGGCUUAGAAGCAGCCAUCAUUUAAAGAAAGCGUAAUAGCUCACUGGUCGAGUCGGCCUGCGCGGAAGAUGUAACGGGGCUAAACCAUGCACCGAAGCUGCGGCAGCGAACGUAUCACCCAAGACAACUUUACGGAGUUGACGAUUGACGGAGCGAAGCGACGUCAAAGCGUUCAUUAAAGUCGAGUUGGCUUAGGGAUACGUUCGUUGGGUAGGGGAGCGUUCUGUAAGCCUGUGAAGGUGUGUCGUGAGGCAUGCUGGAGGUAUCAGAAGUGCGAAUGCUGACAUAAGUAACGAUAAAGCGGGUGAAAAGCCCGCUCGCCGGAAGACCAAGGGUUCCUGUCCAACG
rnacentral:rRNA from 1 species